GUAAAAUCCUCCUCUAUUAUUUGUCAUGAUUGAUAAAGUUGCUGCACUUCAGUUGAUUCCUAUUUUUAAUGUCUCGUCUAUUUGAAUUCAUAUUGUUGUUCAUGAUCAAAACCUUUUUCCUUUUGGUAGUCUUUGUAAUAUAUGCAAAAAGAAAGAUUGCUAACUGUUUUCAAAAGCAUUUUAUUUGAUGAAUAGUGUGAUAUCUUUGGAAGAUUCUCUUCUUGCAGACAAACAGAGUAUGCUGGAUUUGUCAGCUGUAUUUAUUGAAGGACUUUAAGAGUGUCUUGUAAUUGAUUCUGUAAAUCGGGUUUUCUCUGCCCUUCAAAUACAGAAUUUCCAUUCUUUGUAAAAGUUAUCUUUGUAUAGAAAUGGAUAAAUCUUCUUAUCAUAUACUGGUUUCUGAGAG